rnacentral:rRNA from 1 species
CACGUAGGGGACGAGCGUUGUCCGGAUUCAUUGGGCGUAAAGCGCGCGUAGGCGGCUCGGAAAGUCGGGCGUGAAAUGCCGGGGCUCAACCCCGGGACUGCGUCCGAUACUUCCAAGCUGGAGGUAGGUAGGGGAGAUCGGAAUUCCUGGUGUAGGCGGUGAAAUGCGCAGAUAUCAGGAGGAACACCGGUGGCGAAGGCGGAUCUCUGGGCCUUACCUGACGCUGGAGGAGCGAAAGCGUGGGGAGCAAACAGG